rnacentral:rRNA from 1 species
GAUGAACGCUGGCGGCGUGCCUAAUACAUGCAAGUCGAGCGAACAGAUGAGGAGCUUGCUCCUCUGACGUUAGCGGCGGACGGGUGAGUAACACGUGGAUAACCUACCUAUAAGACUGGGAUAACUUCGGGAAACCGGAGCUAAUACCGGAUAAUAUAUUGAACCGCAUGGUUCAAUAGUGAAAGACGGUUUUGCUGUCACUUAUAGAUGGAUCCGCGCCGCAUUAGCUAGUUGGUAAGGUAACGGCUUACCAAGGCAACGAUGCGUAGCCGACCUGAGAGGGUGAUCGGCCACACUGGAACUGAGACACGGUCCAGACUCCUACGGGAGGCAGCAGUAGAAAAUCUUCCGCAAUGGGCGAAAGCCUGACGGAGCAACGCCGCGUGAGUGAUAAAGGUCUUCGGAUCGUAAAACUCUGUUAUUAGGGAAGAACAAAUGUGUAAGUAACUAUGCACGUCUUGACGGUACCUAAUCAGAAAGCCACGGCUAACUACGUG